UUAAGCGACUAAGCGUACACGGUGGAUGCCCUGGCAGUCAGAGGCGAUGAAGGACGUGCUAAUCUGCGAUAAGCGUCGGUAAGGUGAUAUGAACCGUUAUAACCGGCGAUUUCCGAAUGGGGAAACCCAGUGUGUUUCGACACACUAUCAUUAACUGAAUCCAUAGGUUAAUGAGGCGAACCGGGGGAACUGAAACAUCUAAGUACCCCGAGGAAAAGAAAUCAACCGAGAUUCCCCCAGUAGCGGCGAGCGAACGGGGAGGAGCCCAGAGCCUGAAUCAGUGUGUGUGUUAGUGGAAGCGUCUGGAAAGGCGCGCGAUACAGGGUGACAGCCCCGUACACAAAAAUGCACAUGCUGUGAGCUCGAUGAGUAGGGCGGGACACGUGGUAUCCUGUCUGAAUAUGGGGGGACCAUCCUCCAAGGCUAAAUACUCCUGACUGACCGAUAGUGAACCAGUACCGUGAGGGAAAGGCGAAAAGAACCCCGGCGAGGGGAGUGAAAAAGAACCUGAAACCGUGUACGUACAAGCAGUGGGAGCCUCUUAAUGGGGUGACUGCGUACCUUUUGUAUAAUGGGUCAGCGACUUAUAUUCUGUAGCAAGGUUAACCGAAUAGGGGAGCCGAAGGGAAACCGAGUCUUAACUGGGCGUUAAGUUGCAGGGUAUAGACCCGAAACCCGGUGAUCUAGCCAUGGGCAGGUUGAAGGUUGGGUAACACUAACUGGAGGACCGAACCGACUAAUGUUGAAAAAUUAGCGGAUGACUUGUGGCUGGGGGUGAAAGGCCAAUCAAACCGGGAGAUAGCUGGUUCUCCCCGAAAGCUAUUUAGGUAGCGCCUCGUGAAUUCAUCUCCGGGGGUAGAGCACUGUUUCGGCAAGGGGGUCAUCCCGACUUACCAACCCGAUGCAAACUGCGAAUACCGGAGAAUGUUAUCACGGGAGACACACGGCGGGUGCUAACGUCCGUCGUGAAGAGGGAAACAACCCAGACCGCCAGCUAAGGUCCCAAAGUCAUGGUUAAGUGGGAAACGAUGUGGGAAGGCCCAGACAGCCAGGAUGUUGGCUUAGAAGCAGCCAUCAUUUAAAGAAAGCGUAAUAGCUCACUGGUCGAGUCGGCCUGCGCGGAAGAUGUAACGGGGCUAAACCAUGCACCGAAGCUGCGGCAGCGACACUAUGUGUUGUUGGGUAGGGGAGCGUUCUGUAAGCCUGUGAAGGUGUGCUGUGAGGCAUGCUGGAGGUAUCAGAAGUGCGAAUGCUGACAUAAGUAACGAUAAAGCGGGUGAAAAGCCCGCUCGCCGGAAGACCAAGGGUUCCUGUCCAACGUUAAUCGGGGCAGGGUGAGUCGACCCCUAAGGCGAGGCCGAAAGGCGUAGUCGAUGGGAAACAGGUUAAUAUUCCUGUACUUGGUGUUACUGCGAAGGGGGGACGGAGAAGGCUAUGUUGGCCGGGCGACGGUUGUCCCGGUUUAAGCGUGUAGGCUGGUUUUCCAGGCAAAUCCGGAAAACCAAGGCUGAGGCGUGAUGACGAGGCACUACGGUGCUGAAGCGACAAAUGCCCUGCUUCCAGGAAAAGCCUCUAAGCAUCAGGUAACAUCAAAUCGUACCCCAAACCGACACAGGUGGUCAGGUAGAGAAUACCAAGGCGCUUGAGAGAACUCGGGUGAAGGAACUAGGCAAAAUGGUGCCGUAACUUCGGGAGAAGGCACGCUGAUAUGUAGGUGAAGCGACUUGCUCGUGGAGCUGAAAUCAGUCGAAGAUACCAGCUGGCUGCAACUGUUUAUUAAAAACACAGCACUGUGCAAACACGAAAGUGGACGUAUACGGUGUGACGCCUGCCCGGUGCCGGAAGGUUAAUUGAUGGGGUUAGCGGUAACGCGAAGCUCUUGAUCGAAGCCCCGGUAAACGGCGGCCGUAACUAUAACGGUCCUAAGGUAGCGAAAUUCCUUGUCGGGUAAGUUCCGACCUGCACGAAUGGCGUAAUGAUGGCCAGGCUGUCUCCACCCGAGACUCAGUGAAAUUGAACUCGCUGUGAAGAUGCAGUGUACCCGCGGCAAGACGGAAAGACCCCGUGAACCUUUACUAUAGCUUGACACUGAACAUUGAGCCUUGAUGUGUAGGAUAGGUGGGAGGCUUUGAAGUGUGGACGCCAGUCUGCAUGGAGCCGACCUUGAAAUACCACCCUUUAAUGUUUGAUGUUCUAACGUGGGCCCCUGAUCGGGGUUGCGGACAGUGUCUGGUGGGUAGUUUGACUGGGGCGGUCUCCUCCUAAAGAGUAACGGAGGAGCACGAAGGUUGGCUAAUCCUGGUCGGACAUCAGGAGGUUAGUGCAAUGGCAUAAGCCAGCUUGACUGCGAGCGUGACGGCGCGAGCAGGUGCGAAAGCAGGUCAUAGUGAUCCGGUGGUUCUGAAUGGAAGGGCCAUCGCUCAACGGAUAAAAGGUACUCCGGGGAUAACAGGCUGAUACCGCCCAAGAGUUCAUAUCGACGGCGGUGUUUGGCACCUCGAUGUCGGCUCAUCACAUCCUGGGGCUGAAGUAGGUCCCAAGGGUAUGGCUGUUCGCCAUUUAAAGUGGUACGCGAGCUGGGUUUAGAACGUCGUGAGACAGUUCGGUCCCUAUCUGCCGUGGGCGCUGGAGAACUGAGGGGGGCUGCUCCUAGUACGAGAGGACCGGAGUGGACGCAUCACUGGUGUUCGGGUUGUCAUGCCAAUGGCACUGCCCGGUAGCUAAAUGCGGAAGAGAUAAGUGCUGAAAGCAUCUAAGCACGAAACUUGCCCCGAGAUGAGUUCUCCCUGAGACCUAGAGUCUCCUGAAGGAACGUUGAAGACGACGACGUUGAUAGGCCGGGUGUGUAAGCGCAGCGAUGCGUUGAGCUAACCGGUACUAAUGAACCGUGAGGCUUAACCUU
rnacentral:rRNA from 1 species